rnacentral:rRNA from 1 species
GACGAACGCUGGCGGCGUGCUUAACACAUGCAAGUCGAACGGAAAGGCCCUGCUUUUGUGGGGUGCUCGAGUGGCGAACGGGUGAGUAACACGUGAGUAACCUGCCCUUGACUUUGGGAUAACUUCAGGAAACUGGGGCUAAUACCGGAUAGGAGCUCCUGUUGCAUGGUGGGGGUUGGAAAGUUUCGGCGGUUGGGGAUGGACUCGCGGCUUAUCAGCUUGUUGGUGGGGUAGUGGCUUACCAAGGCAUUGACGGGUAGCCGGCCUGGGAGGGUGACCGGCCACAUUGGGACUGAGGUACGGCCCAGACUCCUACGGGAGGCAGCAGUGGGGAAUAUUGCACAAUGGGCGGAAGCCUGAUGCAGCAACGCCGCGUGCGGGAUGACGGCCUUCGGGUUGUAAACCGCUUUCGCCUGUGACGAAGCGUGAGUGACGGUAAUGGAUAAAGAAGCACCGGCUAACUACGUG